GUAAGGCUUGUUGCCUUCUGAUCAUCUU
rnacentral:sRNA from 1 species